UGUUGUACCAGCCCAAUGCCACACAUGAUACUGGGAGUGAUAGUUGUUACGAUACCCCUGGGAUAAAAAGGGUUAAAACCGUGUAAAAUGCUCCUUUCCCGAAUAUGAAGGCAACUACCGAUCACAACAAUCAGCCGAACAGGAACCAUACGAAUCAUACACUCUCCAAAUAUCCGAACGAGAAUCACCAUAUGAAUAAAUCCUCCGAAGACAGAGGCUAAACUCCAUUUUAUACAGAGUAAUGAAACUACAUAAAAAUACAUAAUACAAAAACUAUAAUACAAAAACUACCGAACGCAAUAGAUACGUUCAACACAUCCCCAGAUAGCUUGGAUCUGAGGGCACAUUAUUACCGAAUGGCGCUCAGAUCCUAUACCCACACUGUUCAAUCGCCAUGGAGCCAAAGUCUUUCACAUAGUCUUUAGUUAUACGAAUGGGCUCCAUGGUACAGCAAUCUGGGAUAAGUCUAUUCGUGAAAAGAAACUACCCAAAGGUAUGUCCAACAUGGCCGCCACCUUGUGGUCGGCAUACGAACGACCACCCAGUCGGCGUUUGACAAUUAGGAAGUGUCUGCGGUUAACCACAAUGUUCUAAUGAGGCCAAAAGGUUAACCAGCAGCACACUUCCAUGCUGGGUGGCCGGCCGUUCGGUGAAUUGUUCGGUAUAAAAGAAACAAGCGUUUGGGGCUGAAUGGACAGGGAAAUAGCCGAAGAAACAGACGAAUGAGGGAACAAUAAAAGUAUUUCACAGGCAGUUGGUUCUGUCACAAUAGCAUACACAUUCAUACCUCCCUAUAGAACCCCCACUAAUAAGUGGUCUUUUAGUGAAGAACAGACCUGAUCUCACAGUUUUCUAUUUAGAAGAAAAUACAUUCUGGUUCCACCUGGCUGACUAGAGCAACUAAAGUGGAUAACAUUUAUGUUUUUCAGACAUUUCACAGAUAUUGUCAAGACUUUCCCAAUAGUUGAAUAAAAUAAAAAUUAAAACAUGUAGAUGUGUCUCUAACUGCAGAGAAAGAACCUGACCAUGUCUCAGGACAUUUUAUAUUUGAUAAUAUCACCACAUAAAUUAUCCUAUUACUAGUACUACUACUACUACUAAUAAUAAUAAUCUCAUAUUUUAUUAACCGUAGCAUAUGUAUUUUCUGAUUGAGGUGUUUUAACAGCAGCAUAGAGGACUUGGGGUUCCUUCUCAAGUUGGGUUUUUCUCUUUAAUUUUUCAUCGUUACUUGGUGGCAUAUUUAAUUGGGCAUACAGAACCCCUCCAGCAUCCUGCAUGGAUACAACAAGAGGAAGGUGAAACAAAAGAAAGAGAGCCAUAGUGCAGAAAGGAUGAAAACCAUCAGAAACAUGAUAGAGAAAAAAUUAGAAUAAACAACAACAGCACACAAGAGACUAAAAGACAGGAUAAAGACAAAUACAAAAGGAGAGAGAUAAAAAAAGCAGGUAGAGAGGACAAAAGAGCAGAGGAGAUUUGAGAUGAUAAUUAAAACAUGUUUGGAUAUGGAAAGAGAAAAGGGAAGAGAAAAUAAAAAUGUGGAAGUAA